UAAAACUAAUUUUAUAUUACAGGAUUCUGCUAAUUAUUCUUACAUCAUUCGGACAACUGUUCUUCUUAAAAUUUAAAAGAACGUAAAGAAUAACUGAAGUUUAUAAAAGCUGAAGAAAUUUUCACAAGGAUUAGAACAGAAAACUGAACUCAAAUGGAAGCGCUUGCACUCUCAUGUCACUAUCAUGUCCUGACAAUUUCGGAUUUUAUAAAACUAUAGGAGAUGUUGUGAUUGACAUUGAGAUUGUGAUUGACAUCUGGAGCAGAGCUAUAAUUUUGUUUAACAUUACGUGAAGUUUAUU